rnacentral:rRNA from 1 species
CCUACGGGAGGCAGCAGUAGGGAAUAUUGCUCAAUGGGGGAAACCCUGAAGCAGCAACGCCGCGUGGAGGAUGAAGGUUUUCGGAUUGUAAACUCCUUUUGUUAGAGAAGAUAAUGACGGUAUCUAACGAAUAAGCACCGGCUAACUCCGUGCCAGCAGCCGCGGUAAUACGGAGGGUGCAAGCGUUACUCGGAAUCACUGGGCGUAAAGAGCGCGUAGGCGGGAUAGCAAGUCAGAUGUGAAAUCCUAGGGCUUAACCAUAGAACUGCAUUUGAAACUGUUAUUCUAGAGUAUGGGAGAGGGAGGUGGAAUUCUUGGUGUAGGGGUAAAAUCCGUAGAGAUCAAGAGGAAUACUCAUUGCGAAGGCGACCUGCUAGAACAUAACUGACGCUGAUGCGCGAAAGCGUGGGGAGCAAACAGGAUUAGAUACCCGGGUAGUC